rnacentral:lncRNA from 1 species
CCGGGCUACCACUUCGUACCAACGGACGAGGAGCUCGUGGACUUCUACCUCCGCGGCAAGAUCGAGGGACGCGACCCGCCUCGCCGCUUCAUCAGUGAGGAGAAUAUCAUGCGUUAUGAUCCCCAAAAGCUGAUUGAGAAAUACAAGGGCUAUGGGGAAGACAGGUGGUACUUUUUCAUGGUGAGGGAGCCGUCGAAGACGAAGAAGAAGGACGAGCCGAACAGGAAGGUGGUGGUGGAUGGGGUGGAGGAGGGAAGCUGGAGCGCGACGGGGAGCGUGGUGCAGAUUCACAGCACCAAGGAGACGAACCGGAAGGCUAUCAUUGGCAGCAAGAGGGUUCUCACUUAUAAAUCUGCUCGUUCCGCUGAGAACGACAUGUGGAGCAUGCAUGAGUAUGUCUUGGCAGGCAAAUCCCAGACCUACGAGAGAGAAGAGAAGGCCCGGGAGGAGCAGAAGAAUGACAACAAACGCAAUAAAAAGGCCGCAAGGAGGAAGAACAUGCAGCAGCAGCCUACUGCUUGCCAGGCACAAGACGAGCAGCAGGAAACAGCACCAACACCUGGAGAAGAAACCAUUGUGGAUCCUGACCAGUUCAUGGAUAUUGCCCAUUCCAUGCAUAUGAUGUUUGGAGGAGUAGAUCAAGAUGCACCACCAUUCAUGCCAACCUUAAUUGCUCCUUGCAACAACGAUGAUGGCAUGCUGCAACUUCAACCACUCCAAUUGCAGAACCCAAACCCUGCAAUGCUGUACAGUAACCAGCUGGAACCAUCGUACAUUGGUGAUCAGUCGAUGUUCACCCCAUGCUGCUGCGAUAGAAACUGUAUUUCUUGUCGUCAGCUACAAUUUUACCAGCAACAGCAAGCAGAGGAUGGCAGUGUUGCAUUUGGAGAGGCUGAUCUAUACCAACAACAUGAUAGGGCAUUGGGAAAUACUGGUGUAUACCCUGACAAUGUUUGGGUGGAUGGUAACAUGGCAGAUUAUGCUCAGCGUCAGAUUUACAAUGAUCAAGAUAAUGGUGGUGUAUUAAUGCAAGGGCCGGAGGAUAGCGCAACUUUCCCUGACAACUUCCUGAUGCUGGACGAAAUGGCGGCAGGUAGCGAUGAUGCGUCAGGCUUUGAUUAUGAGGUUGAUCAAUCCAUGGCAGUCGUCCCACAUGUUGCUGAUCAGACCGUCGAUGAUAUUAUGUCGUCACUGCUUAAUUGA